rnacentral:rRNA from 1 species
UACGGAGGGUGCAAGCGUUAAUCGGAAUUACUGGGCGUAAAGCGCGCGUAGGCGGUUUGUUAAGUCAGAUGUGAAAGUCCACGGCUCAACCAUGGAAGUGCACUUGAAACUGGCAGACUUGAGUAUUGGAGGGGGCAGUGGAAUUCCCGGUGUAGAGGUGAAAUUCGUAGAUAUCGGGAGGAAUACCAGUGGCGAAGGCGACUGUCUGGCCAAAUACUGACGCUGAGGUGCGAAAGCGUGGGGAGCAAACAGG